CGGAGCAGUCGGCCGCCUCCCUCCGCGCGCUGGACGCUCCGCUGCCGCCGCCGCCCGCCUGCCCGCCGCACCGCAGGUCAGUAAUUCAGCAAGGGAGAGUGGAUGGCUCGUUCACUGACAGGUCUAGCAGUUGAUCCCAGCUGGUGGCUGGGGAACUGUUCAGCUGGCACGUACACAUGGGGCCUCUCCAUGUCACCUGGGCUUCCUCCCAACAUGGCGACUAGAGUCUAAGCAGGGCACCUGUGUGUGAUACAUGGUGGAGAUGACAAUGACAAAAACGUCAGGGAGCCUGGAUCCCUGAGUCACCACCUGGAGGAGAACCAUCCAAUCCAUAAUGACUUUACUCCAAAUUCAUUGCCUCUAGACAUGUGUGAGACUGCAGUGUUCAGGAUACGAAGGCAGGGGCAUGUGUCACUGUAGUCCAGACACCAUAAAUGCCAACGUGAGGAUUAAAGACCAGCUGCAAGGGGAUUUCAAAAGCUCCAUCGAAUCCCAACACUUUUCUCAAGACACAAUUUAUCUUUGUCUGUGAAAGGAGGGCUAUUUUGACAACAAUUAGACCCCAAAAGUAACUGUGCACAUGAGCUGGGUUGUCUCCCUUGGAGAAGAAUCUGGGAAGAUUCUGGAUGGUUCUGGAUGCAGGGGGUUCACUCUGGAAUAGUAACCACCAACACCACCCUCUCCACGUCUCCUGCCUGAAACUAGCAGCAAGAGUCCCUGCCCACGGCUCGAAUGUGGAUUGUCACCAGGAACGGUGGCUUCUCCAGAAUGGCCAAUGCUCCAGAGUCCAUGUCCCACCUGGGGAAGCAGACUUCGAUGCUCAAGAAGUCACCGUGGUGGGACCUGGGGCCACAUCCACCAUGCAAAGUGUCCCUGGGAUCUGGGGCACAAGGAAUCCUCACUGGAUCUCACAGGCUGUCCUUCCCCAACUUCCUUUUUUUUAUUCCUCCAUCAGAGCAAGUCAACUGUCUCCACACUUGCUCUAAAAACAUGUUUAACGUGCACUGACAGCCCACUCUGACACGGGCAUUGUUAUUCCAUUUUACAGAUGAAGAAACUGAGCCUGGGAAGUUAUCGAGAGCCAUGACCAUCUUGGAAGAGACCAGCUCAUCUCAGAAGUGAUCUCGCUGGGAAAGGCCGUUAUUUUCCACCAGGCCACGGGGCCCACUUUGCAUCCACAAGGAGAAGCUUGUGUAGUUGGGCUCCCCUCCUGCCUUGUGUUGUCUGGACCCUGGGGCCAGUCUUAUUUUGCAUGAACAGAGUUGUCCUGGUCCCAGCGAUCCUUUGCUGGUGUGGAGACUGGAAGUCAGAGCCCAAGGUCCACCAGGCACGGGAGCUCGUGGAGACGGUUGUGCUCAGGGCAUGGGGUCUGGGGAUGGCGCAGCUUUUUCUAUAGAAAAGUGCAUUCUGUCUUCUGCAUGGUCUAUGGUAACCAACCUUAGCUUUGUCUUGCUUUGUUUUUUUCUCUUCAGCCUCCGGAAGAGUGUCUGUUCAACAUAAAGAAUAAAGCAUGAAAUACCUUGAACUCUUAGACUAACUCCCGAGGCUGCAGACCAGCAGGAGAGAAGUGAGGGCAGCUACCUGGUGUCUUCGGGCUGAGAAGAGGUCCACUGGGGAGCCUUGGACAAACCAGAACCACAGCAGCUCGGGGCCCGUCUUCCUUCUCCAGACGCAGCUCUCCCCUUGCUCGACAGCGUUCGACUUUGGCCAUUCCUUCCAGGGGCCAGCACGGCACUGACCACCGCAGGCCCUCAGGGGAUGUGACUGGAAUCAAAGGAUUGCCUGCCUAAUCCAUUUCCUUUGUUUAUCACUCUGGAAUUUCACCCACAAGUUGAAAAUGAAGCUGACUGUAGUUCAGUUGAAAGAUGUCCUCUUGAGAUGGGGAAGUGGCAUACAGGAACGCUGGUAACAUGGGUCCACGAUGGAGAUUUCUGUUUACUCUUUAAGAAGCUGGACUCCAUCACUGGGGCACCCACUUGUCCAAGAGAGUGAGUUUGCCUUUAAGAAACAAAAUCCUGGGCUUCUCUGGUGGCGCAGUGGUUGAGAAUCUGCCUGCCAAUGCAGGGGACACGGGUUCGAGCUCUGGUCUGGGAAGAUCCCACAUGCCACGGAGGAACUAGGCCCAUGAGCCACAACUACUGAGCCUGCGCGUCUGGAGCCUGUGCUCCGCAACAAGAGAGGCCGCGAUAGUGAGAGGCCCGCACACCGCGAUGAAGAGUGGCCCCCGCUCGCUGCAACUAGAGAAAGCCCUUGCACAGAAACGAA